UACAGAGGGGGCUAGCGUUGUUCGGAAUUACUGGGCGUAAAGGGCGCGUAGGUGGCCUGUUAAGUCGAACGUGAAAUCCCCGGGCUCAACCCGGGAACUGCGUCCGAUACUGGCAGGCUUGAAUCCGGGAGAGGGAUGUGGAAUUCCAGGUGUAGCGGUGAAAUGCGUAGAUAUCUGGAGGAACACCGGUGGCGAAGGCGGCAUCCUGGACCGGUAUUGACGCUGAGGCGCGAAAGCCAGGGGAGCAAACGGG
rnacentral:rRNA from 1 species